UACGGAGGGGGCUAGCGUUGUUCGGAAUUACUGGGCGUAAAGCGCACGUAGGCGGCUUUGUAAGUUAGAGGUGAAAGCCCAGGGCUUAACCCUGGAAUUGCCUUUAAGACCGCAUCGCUAGAAUCGUGGGGAGGUGAGUGGAAUUCCGAGUGUAGAGGUGAAAUUCGUAGAUAUUCGGAAGAACACCAGUGGCGAAGGCGACUCACUGGACACGUAUUGACGCUGAGGUGCGAAAGCGUGGGGAGCAAACAGG
rnacentral:rRNA from 1 species